UACGUAGGAAGCGAGCGUUGUCCGGAUUCAUUGGGCGUAAAGCGCUUUAAGGCGGUUCGCUAAGUCGCGUGUGAAACCUCCAGGCUCAACCUGGAGACGCCACGCGAUACUGGCGUGACUAGAGUUCGGUAGGGGAUCACGGAAUUCCUGGUGUAGCGGUGAAAUGCGCAGAUAUCAGGAGGAACACCGGUGGCGAAGGCGGUGAUCUGGGCCGACACUGACGCUGUAGAGCGAAAGCGUGGGGAGCGAACAGG
rnacentral:rRNA from 1 species